rnacentral:rRNA from 1 species
AGCGAACGCUGGCGGCGUGCUUAACACAUGCAAGUCGCGCGCGAAAGAGGCUUUCGGGUCUUGAGUAGAGCGGCGCACGGGUGCGUAAGACGCGGGUGACCUAUCCACGAGGUGGGGAUAACCCUUCGAAAGAGGGGCUAAUACCGGAUGAGCCCACAGGCAGAGAUGCUAGGGGGCGAAAGGGUAGCGAUUUACUAAGCGCAUCUCUUCGUGGCGGGGCCCACGGCCUAUCAGCUAGUUGGUGUGGUAACGGCACACCAAGGCGAAGACGGGUAGCUGGUCUGAGAGGAUGGCCAGCCACACGGGGACUGAGACACGGCCCCGA